rnacentral:rRNA from 1 species
UACGAAGGGGGCUAGCGUUGUCCGGAAUUACUGGGCGUAAAGUGUGCGCAGGCGGCGCUGCAAGUCGAGUGUGAAAUCCCCGAGCUUAACUUGGGAAUUGCGCUCGAAACUACGGCGCUGGAGUAUGGCAGAGGAAGGUGGAAUUCCACGUGUAGCGGUGAAAUGCGUAGAGAUGUGGAGGAACACCGAUGGCGAAGGCAGCCUUCUGGGCCAAUACUGACGCUCAUGCACGAAAGCGUGGGGAGCAAACAGG